AUCUAUAGCCCUGCCACCCUCAGCGUGCUCAAGCUUUUCUGAUCUCGGAAGCUAUGCAGGGUUGGGUCUGGUUAGGACUUGGAUGGGAGACUACCUAGGAAUACCAGGUGCUGUAGGCA
ensembl:rRNA 5S_rRNA 5S ribosomal RNA